AGCUGCAGGAUAACCAAUGCAUCGCUAGCCGCCUGACGACUAACAGAUACGGGGAAGCUUACAGCAUUGUUCUUCAAAAUGAAUCGGUUUUCGCUGCUGCUUCUGCUGUUGGUGAACAUAGCCUUGGCAGACAUUGAGCUCGGUCUGUGCCCCGACUUCACUAAUAUGCAGACCUUCGAAGUGGAGCCCUAUCUCGGCCGGUGGUACGAGAACAGACGUUUCCCGACACAUGCAGCCGGCCUGGAAUGUGUCACCGGCGACUACGGAU